ensembl:lncRNA
GUCCAAAACAUCCGGAGGGCCGAAGUUGGCCCAUGCCUGCUCUAGAUAGAAGGAAAUCUCCUCUGGAGGUUGGAUGCCCAUCUGCUGGGAGGGAUCGGGUGGUGCCUUCCUACUUGGCAGAAAGAAGCGUUGGACUGGAUGGCCAAAACAUUCCCUUCACUUUGGAAGAAAAACUGAAAUGCAAAGGUACAGAAUGAGGGAUGAUGCCUGGCUCGAUAACAAAUUGGGAGUGAAAGCCAAGACUCCAGAAGACAGGAGCAGAACUCAAAACGAUCUUAACAGAUUGGAGAGACGAUUGGCCAAGACUAACACAAUGAAUCUCCACUUAGGCAGAAAAAAUGAAAUACAAAGAGACAGAAUGGGGGGUGAUGCCUGGCUCAAUAACAAAUUGGGAGUGAAAACCAAGACUCCAGAAGACAGGAGCAGAACUCAAAACGAUCUUAACAGAUUGGAGAGACAAUAGGCCAAGACUAACACAAUGAACCUCAACAGGGACAAAUGCAAGAGACUCCACUUGGGCAGAAAAAAUGAAAUGCAAAGAGACAGAAUGGGAGACAAUGCAUGGCUCGAUAACAGUAUGUGUGGAAAAGAUCCUGGAGUCCCCGUGGGGAGGAAGGGGAACAGGAGCCAGGAAUGUAAUGCAGCGGCAAAAAAGGCCAAUGGGAUGUUGGCCUGCAUCAAGAGGAGUCUAGUGUCUUGAUCCAGGGAAGUCAUGCUCCCCCUCUCUUCUAUUCUACCUUGGUCAGACCACACCUGGAAUCACAGUGUCCAAUUCUGGGCACCAAAAUCAAAGGGAGGUGUUGCUUCUAAGCUGGAAUAUGUCCAGGGGAGGGAGACUCAAAGGAUCAAGGGUCUGGCGAACAAGAAUCCCCAUGAGGAGUGGCUGAAAGAGCUAGGCAUUUUUAGUCUGCAGAAGAGAAGGCUGAGAGGAGACAUAAUGAGGGACAUGGAUCAGGAUGUGAGAGGAAGGAAGUCCUAGGGAGGAGGGAACAAGCUUGUCUUCUGCUGCCCUGGAGACUAUGACGCGAUGGAACAAUGGCUUCAAACUACAGGAAAGAAAGGAGAUUUCACCUGAACAUGAGGAAGAACUUCCUCACUGUGAGAGAGAGCUGUUCAGCAUCAAGAAACAGUUUUUCAAGAUCUACAGAGAUACUCGCAGGAAAACCUCAGAAAGCGAGAGUCCAAAAGUGGCAGGCUAAAACCCGGAAUCAGUAGCUGAGACCAGAUGAAAGACUCCCUCCUGGGCACACAGAAGACUGGAUUGACUUGGAAGGUGUUGAACAGACUGCGCUCAGGCACCACGAGAUGCAGAGCCAACCUUAGGAAAUGGGGCCACAAAGUGGAGUCCAUGACAUGCGAGUGUCUGGAAGAGCAAACCACAGACCAUGGACUACAAUGUAGCCUGAGCCUUGCCACAUGCACAAGGGAGGAUAUUCUUAUAGAAACACCAGAGGCACUCCAAGUGGCCAGCUUCUGGUCAAAGGACAUUUAGUAUAGUGCCAAGUUUUAAAAAAUGUAACUUUGUGUUCUCAAAUACAUUACAACCAGAGCCGGUCCAACAAUGAGGCGAAUUAAGCGGUCACUUGGGGCCCAAAAUAUACGGGGGCGCAGUCGAGACUGCUUUUUCUGUUGAUUUGUUGUAAAACAUGAUGUUUUGGUGCUUAAUUUGUAAAAUCCUAAUGUAAUUUGAUGUUUAAUAGGCUUUUCCUUAAUCCCUCCAUAAUAUCCAACAUUUUUGCUUAUCCAACGCUUUUAUUUUUCAGUGAUUGGUUUUUUUUGGGGGGGGGGGCAGCGCCAAAAUUCUGUUCGCCUACACUUGAAAAAUACCUAGGGCCAGCUCUGAACUUGUACCCUCAAUUCACUGCUGACAUGAUAAAUAAAAUAAGCAGUGGAACUCUCUCUCUGCCCCAGAAUGUGGUGGAGGCUCCUUCUUUGGAGGCUUUGAAGCAGAGGUUGGGCGGCCAUCUGUUGGGGGUGCUUUGAAUGCAGAAUGGGGUUGGACUGGAUGACCUGUGAGGUCUCUCCCAACUCUAGGAUUCUAUGGUUCCAGCUCUAGCAUCCUAUGAUCCUUUGCGCACACACACACUCACACAUGCAUGCACGCUUCUUCCAUGGGGGGCGAGGGGAGCCAAGGAAAUAAGCAGCAAGGACUCUGGGAAGAUGACAAGGAAAUCCUUUUAUUUCCAGGUCCCUGAACAACCCUGUGAAAAUACCAAAGAAGAGGCAGCCCAGGAAGGAGUGGGAGGGGACUCCUUCUUGCCAUGGCCCCCACGGGGUGUUGACUCUUUGCACUGGGGAGGCAGGAGGAGGAGUGGGGCGCAUAGGGGUGCCCUAUGUACAGGGGAGAUGGGGGGCAAUGGGGGGAGGGCACUGGCUGAUAGUGGGGUGGGGGUCACCAUCCCCUGGAAUUAGUUGUUCCUCUUCAUUCUGUUUUGCCACUUAUGAAUAUUUAAAUUUGUUGUCCCAAACUGGAAGAAAGCAGGAUAGAAACCAGUAACUGGAGGAUGUGGGAUGGGGGUGUCAGAUACAUACCCUGUUUGGCCACUGGCCCAUCUGGAAAACAUCAUGCGCACACACAACCGGGUUGGCCUCCCCGCAACACACACACACACACAUGUACACAUUGGGAGGGGGGGGGGGCUAGCACAGAAAAAGUUCCUGAGGAAGGGGAAGAGGAAGAGAAAAGAAGGAAGGAAGAUAGUAAGCAGCCUCCACCCCUGGUUCUGUCCCUAACUGGGGAGGGGGCUUCACAGUGAAGGGACAGUGAAAGGAGAGGGCCAGGGUUGCACCCCCCCCCACCCUCACACACCCCACAAAAUGUCAAAGAAGACCAGAGGAACCCUGAGAAGGGGGCAAUCUAUGGGGAGGGGUCUGGAAGAGGAGCCCAUGACUAUGGCUAUCCAUGCCCUAGGCCUUCCUCCUCUCUCCUCCCUUCCCUUCCCACAGCCCCAGUGAAGAUCCCUCUUAGUAGGCAACCGGGACCUACUAAGAAGCACCUGUCUCCCAGGCUCAUCCUGCCAUCCAAGGGGUCCAUGGACGGCCCACGUGUGGGGAUGACUCCAGAGAAAAACCACCACCCUCAGUUGGGGUGAUUCCACCAUAAAUAUAGCAGAGUUGUGGAGUAGAAGUGUACUGGGCCCAUAACCCAUUGUUGGGGAACCUGAGCUGUUAGGCUCAAAAAAUAACCCUCCCUUGGGGUGAUUCCACCAUAAAUAUAGCAGAAUUACGAAGUAGAAGUGUACUGGGCCCAUAACCCAUUGUUGGGGAACCUGGGCUGUUAGGCUCAAAAAAUAACCCUCCGUUGGGGUGAUUCCACCAUAAAUAUAGCAGAGUUACGAAGUAGAAGUGUACUGGGCCCAUAACCCAUUGUUGGGGAACCUGAGCUGUUAGGCUCAAAAAAUAACCCUCCGUUGGGGUGAUUCCACCAUAAAUAUAGCAGAGUUACGAAGUAGAAGUGUACUGGGCCCAUAACCCAUUGUUGGGGAACCUGGGCUGUUAGGCUCAAAAAAUAACCCUCCGUUGGGGUGAUUCCACCAUAAAUAUAGCAGAGUUACGAAGUAGAAGUGUACUGGGCCCAUAACCCAUUGUUGGGGAACCUGAGCUGUUAGGCUCAAAAAAAUAACCCUCAGUUAGGGUGAUUCCACCAUAAAUAUAGCAGAGUUGUGAAGCAAAAGCGUGCUGGGCCCAUAACCCUCCUCAGGCCCCUUCCUUUACCCCCUCAGCCACUUAAUGCCCCUCUGCAAGGCCAGAGGGGCAUUUGCUGGAAGGCCGGACCAGACCGUGCCCUUUGCUACAAGAAAGGAGCAGAAUGCUAGCUGGGUGAGAAGACCCUAUUGGGUUUCAUCCCUGAACUGCUCCUGUGUCUUGUGUCCUCAAGUUUCCAGUCCUCAAUGAGUAGCUAGGCUAGAGACAGGGACCAAGUUGAGGGAUUCCUUUCCCCACAUCCCUGUGUGUGUUUAUCCCUUUGCAUCGCACGUAAGUUUCUGCUGGUUAAGGAAUUUACUCCUAGUAUUCUGCUAUAUUUGGGUGGGACUGCCCCAACUGAGGGUUAUUUUGAGCCCAAAAAAGGGCUUUGUCUCUCCUCCUCCAGGCAUGGGCAAGCUUCCGCCCUCCAGGUGUUUUGGACUUCAACUCCCACCAUUCCUAACAGCCUCAAGUUUAUAGUCCUCAUAUAGUCCUAGAAGGGGCAGAAAGCUGUAUGAGUGUUUGUUUUGAAGGCAAGGCUAGGUAUUUCAGCCAGCAGCAAUUGUGGCUCCAGGUGUUUUGGACUUCAACUCCCACCAUUCCUAACAGCCUCAGGCCCUUUCCUUUUCCCCCUCAGCCGCUUAAGCGACUGAGGGGGAAAGGAAGGGACCUGAAGAGGGUUAUGGGCCCAGCACGCUAUUGCUGUGCACUCUGCUAUAUUUAUGGUGGAAUCACCACAACUGAGGAUUAUUUUUUUGAGCCUAACAGCUCAGGUUCCCCAACACUGGGUUAUGGGUCCAGUACACUUCUACUCUACUAUAUUUAGGGUGGAAUCACCUCAACUGAGGGUGAUUUUUUGAGCCUAACAGCUCAGGUUCCCCAACAAUGGGUUAUGGGCCCAAUGCACUUCUACUUUGAAACUCUGCCAUAUUUAUGGUACAAUCACCCCAACUAAGGGCUAUUUUUUGAGCCUAACAGCUCAGGUUCCCCAACAAUGGGUUAUGGGCCCAGUACACUUCUACUCCAGAACUAUGCUAUAUUUAUGGUGGAAUCACCCCAACUGAGGGUGAUUUUUUGAGCCUAACAGCUCAGGUUCCCCAACAAAGGGUUAUGGGCCCAGUACACGUCUACUCCACAACUCUGCUAUGUUUAAGCUGGAAUCACCCCAACUGAGGGUUAUUUUUUGAGCCUAACAGCUCAGGUCCGCCAACAAUGGGUUAUGGGUCCAGUACACUUCUAUUCCACAACUCUGUUAUAUUUAUGGUGGAAUCACCCCAAUUGAAGAUUAUUUUUUGAGCCCAACAGCUCAAGUCCCCCAACAAAGGGUUAUGGGCCCAGUACGUUUCUGCUGCACAACUCUGCUAUAUGUAUGGUGGAAUCACUCCAACUAAGGGUUGUUUUUUGAGC